rnacentral:rRNA from 1 species
UACGUAGGGCGCGAGCGUUGUCCGGAAUUAUUGGGCGUAAAGAGCUCGUAGGCGGUCUGUCGCGUCGGAUGUGAAAAUCCAGGGCUCAACCCUGGAUCUGCAUUCGAUACGGGCAGACUAGAGUUCGGUAGGGGAGACUGGAAUUCCUGGUGUAGCGGUGAAAUGCGCAGAUAUCUGGAGGAACACCGGUGGCGAAGGCGGCAUCCUGGACCGGUAUUGACGCUGAUGCGCGAAAGCCAGGGGAGCAAACGGG